rnacentral:rRNA from 1 species
UACGGUGCUGAAGCAACAAAUGCCCUGCUUCCAGGAAAAGCCUCUAAGCAUCAGGUAACAUCAAAUCGUACCCCAAACCGACACAGGUGGUCAGGUAGAGAAUACCAAGGCGCUUGAGAGAACUCGGGUGAAGGAACUAGGCAAAAUGGUGCCGUAACUUCGGGAGAAGGCACGCUGACACGUAGGUGAAGUGAUUUACUCACGGAGCUGAAGUCAGUCGAAGAUACCAGCUGGCUGCAACUGUUUAUUAAAAACACAGCACUGUGCAAACACGAAAGUGGACGUAUACGGUGUGACGCCUGCCCGGUGCCGGAAGGUUAAUUGAUGGGGUCAGCGCAAGCGAAGCUCCUGAUCGAAGCCCCGGUAAACGGCGGCCGUAACUAUAACGGUCCUAAGGUAGCGAAAUUCCUUGUCGGGUAAGUUCCGACCUGCACGAAUGGCGUAAUGAUGGCCAGGCUGUCUCCACCCGAGACUCAGUGAAAUUGAACUCGCUGUGAAGAUGCAGUGUACCCGCGGCAAGACGGAAAGACCCCGUGAACCUUUACUAUAGCUUGACACUGAACAUUGAGCCUUGAUGUGUAGGAUAGGUGGGAGGCUUUGAAGUGUGGACGCCAGUCUGCAUGGAGCCGACCUUGAAAUACCACCCUUUAAUGUUUGAUGUUCUAACGUGGACCCGUAAUCCGGGUUGCGGACAGUGUCUGGUGGGUAGUUUGACUGGGGCGGUCUCCUCCUAAAGAGUAACGGAGGAGCACGAAGGUUGGCUAAUCCUGGUCGGACAUCAGGAGGUUAGUGCAAUGGCAUAAGCCAGCUUGACUGCGAGCGUGACGGCGCGAGCAGGUGCGAAAGCAGGUCAUAGUGAUCCGGUGGUUCUGAAUGGAAGGGCCAUCGCUCAACGGAUAAAAGGUACUCCGGGGAUAACAGGCUGAUACCGCCCAAGAGUUCAUAUCGACGGCGGUGUUUGGCACCUCGAUGUCGGCUCAUCACAUCCUGGGGCUGAAGUAGGUCCCAAGGGUAUGGCUGUUCGCCAUUUAAAGUGGUACGCGAGCUGGGUUUAGAACGUCGUGAGACAGUUCGGUCCCUAUCUGCCGUGGGCGCUGGAGAACUGAGGGGGGCUGCUCCUAGUACGAGAGGACCGGAGUGGACGCAUCACUGGUGUUCGGGUUGUCAUGCCAAUGGCACUGCCCGGUAGCUAAAUGCGGAAGAGAUAAGUGCUGAAAGCAUCUAAGCACGAAACUUGCCCCGAGAUGAGUUCUCCCUGAGACUUAGAGUCUCCUGAAGGAACGUUGAAGACGACGACGUUGAUAGGCCGGGUGUGUAAGCGCAGCGAUGCGUUGAGCUAACCGGUACUAAUGAACCGUGAGGCUUAACCUUACA